AAGAAUUAAUAUCCAAAAUAAAACGCAAAAAUCACAUAUAUUUUUACAUACCUCUUUAUAGCGGAAUUUACGUUGCAAUUAACAGGAUCCGAUCUCGUCUUGUUUUACGAACUUCUUGAUCCACCAACAAUCUGUCUCAAUUUCUUACACGUUGAUCUUUCUCAUUGCAAACCGGCUAUCCGAGUUGAUCGCAGCACACUGCCCAAAUCCCUAGGGUUUCUGAUGGUGCCCUUAAGCGAAUCCAAGAGAGAGAGAAUAUUGUGGAGAGAUUAUAUUAAUUUUUCUUUAUGUUUUUCGUGUGUUGUAUGUGGCCAAUACCUCAUAUAUUAAUAGGCCAUAAGGAAGACGUUAAUUUUAAUCCUGUUCUAACUAAAUAUCACAUAAAUAGAGAUUUAAACAUAUUAGAAUCUAUCUUUUAAAUUUAUUCAUGAUCCCAAACUAGAAAUAUUUUAGAUAAGUUUCAAUAUUUAUUCCUUAUCCCAUAUGGAUUAUGAAUAUUUUAGAUAAGUCCUAAUGUAGACGAAUUCUAACAUGACAAAAUCUAACAACUUUAUUAAGAAGCACCAGUUAAAAAU
rnacentral:lncRNA from 1 species